rnacentral:rRNA from 1 species
UAGGGAAUCUUCGGCAAUGGACGAAAGUCUGACCGAGCAACGCCGCGUGAGUGAAGAAGGUUUUCGGAUCGUAAAACUCUGUUGGUAGAGAAGAACGUUGGUGAGAGUGGAAAGCUCAUCAAGUGACGGUAACUACCCAGAGAGGGACGGCUAACUACGUGCAAG